rnacentral:rRNA from 1 species
CCUACGGGAGGCUGCAGUGGGGAAUAUUGGACAAUGGGCGAAAGCCUGAUCCAGCCAUGCCGCGUGUGUGAAGAAGGCCUUCGGGUUGUAAAGCACUUUCAGUGGGGAAGAAAGCCUUGGGGCUAAUACCCUCGAGGAAGGACAUCACCCACAGAAGAAGCACCGGCUAACUCCGUGCCAGCAGCCGCGGUAAUACGGAGGGUGCGAGCGUUAAUCGGAAUUACUGGGCGUAAAGCGCGCGUAGGCGGUCUGAUAAGCCGGUUGUGAAAGCCCCGGGCUCAACCUGGGAACGGCAUCCGGAACUGUCAGGCUAGAGUGCAGGAGAGGAAGGUAGAAUUCCCGGUGUAGCGGUGAAAUGCGUAGAGAUCGGGAGGAAUACCAGUGGCGAAGGCGGCCUCCUGGACUGACACUGACGCUGAGGUGCGAAAGCGUGGGUAGCAAACAGGAUUAGAUACCCGAGUAGUC